GAUGAACGCUGGCGGCGUGCCUAAUACAUGCAAGUCGAGCGAACAGACGAGGAGCUUGCUCCUCUAACGUUAGCGGCGGACGGGUGAAUAACACGUGGAUAACCUACCUAUAAGACUGGGAUAACUUCGGGAAACCGGAGCUAAUACCGGAUAAUAUAUUGAACCGCAUGGUUCAAUAGUGAAAGACGGUUUUGCUGUCACUUAUAGAUGGAUCCGCGCCGCAUUAGCUAGUUGGUAAGGUAACAGCUUACCAAGGCAACGAUGCGUAGCCGACCUGAGAGGGUGAUCGGCCACACUGGAACUGAGACACGGUCCAGACUCCUACGGGAGGCAGCAGUAGGGAAUCUUCCGCAAUGGGCGAAAGCCUGACGGAGCAACGCCGCGUGAGUGAUGAAGGUCUUCGGAUCGUAAAACUCUGUUAUUAGGGAAGAACAAAUGUGUAAGUAACUAUGCACGUCUUGACGGUACCUAAUCAGAAAGCCACGGCUAACUACGUG
rnacentral:rRNA from 1 species